CGGCGGACGGGUGAGUAACGCGUGGGUAACCUGCCUCGUACAGGGGGAUAACAGUUGGAAACGGCUGCUAAUACCGCAUAAGCGCACAGUACCGCAUGGUACGGUGUGAAAAACUCCGGUGGUAUGAGAUGGACCCGCGUCUGAUUAGGUAGUUGGUGGAGUAACGGCCUACCAAGCCGACGAUCAGUAGCCGACCUGAGAGGGUGACCGGCCACAUUGGGACUGAGACACGGCCCAA
rnacentral:rRNA from 1 species